GAGACGUGUUACCGCGCACACGGCCUCCUCCGGGUGAUUUUCUCGGGCGGACCAAGCGCGAGCGCGAGCGCGACGUAGCAAGCGGCAGCCGAGCGCGAGUAAAAUCCAUCGGGGUUCGCACGCGUAAACGCGACUUAAUGGCCGCGAGAGAACCGUGUAUUGUAUAGCAGCAACGGGCGCGCGUACGUAUAAUUCCGUGUGUUAUCUGUCUACUGCAGUGCGCGUUCGACGAAAGUGCGCGAAGGGAAAGAGAGAGAGAGAGAAAUAAGGGGGAGCUUGACGCGCGAAGACACGAGAGAUAGAGACAGUAGGCAUCGAUUAUCCCUCGUGUGUGCGAUCUAUCCGCUCCGUUCGUGCGACGUACGUGUCGCGCCGGGACAUCAAGCGAAACCGCGAGAACAACGGAGUUACGUGUGAUGAAGAAGGAGCGAAUGUGAAGACAGUGCGAGCUAAAGUUUCUUUUUUUUUUUUAACAUCUCUCUCUCUCUGUCUCUCUCUCUGUCUCUCGGUUUCUUGUUUGUCGCGGAGAAUUCGCCGGUCGCGGCUCGUAUUACUCCGAGCUCGAGCGCGGAGUGCGCGGUUUCCCUCUCUCCCCUCCCCCUCCUCCCGCGAAGGUCUUCCUUCUUCGUGACGCGUAACUCAGUGCGGGCCUACGAGAUCGGUGCGUUUUUUUUUCAUCGACGUGCCUCGUGACAGCGUAACGGGGGGUUGCCCCGGAGAGCAAGCGGAGUGACGCGGACGGGAAUGGUAAUCGUGUUCGCGGAAUAGCGGUGUCCGGGAAUAAAGGAGGAAGGAGCGAGAGAGAGAGAGAGGGCGCGAGGAAGAGAGACAGACUCGCCGUUCGCGAGCGGACCGGACGACGCGACACGGAACGCGACAACGCAACACCACGCAACGACGCGGCGCGGCGCGGAGCGACGCGAUCCGACCCGACCCGACGUUCCCAUUUCGGUUUUCGUCGGCCGGCGUUGGAAGUCCCACGGAGUGAGAGAGCGGCCGCCGGUGAUGCCCGACGACGAGCUCUCGUGAAAACGCGGAAGGUGACACGACGCGUUUGUGCGUUCCAGGAGUAAACGCCCCCCCCCUCCCCCCCCGGCGACCUCGCGGGAGCCCAAGGAGAAGUGGGAAGAGAGCCCCGGACGUGUGUGUGCGCUGCUUACAGGAAGUUCUCUCCCGUCAGUUUCUACAAAGUGCGAAGCCGAGUAACGAUUACCGGAUCAACGCUGACAUCGAUCUUGCCGCACCAAUGGAUAUGUCGCGAUGGGGCCCGAGAUAGAAAAUAGGUACGUGCAAAAAUAAUUCCCGCAGCCUCGUAAAUUAUUUAUGCGACUCGUCAAAGUACGACAAUUAUGGCAUAAGAAACUUACAAAUUAGAUUGAAAUGACACGAUUGAAGGAUCGUAUCGCGCGACCGCUUUUAAUCCGUUUUCUGACCGUGUCGUCCGAAAAAAAAAAA